GUAUUUUUGCAUGUUUCAUGGCCAAUAAAUCAUCGUCUCACCUGCACCUUGCCGUCGGAGUUCCGUCUGCAUUCUGGGAGAAUGCUCCACACAGCAAAAUGCGAAGACGACAUGACUGGUAAAUACUCUGGCCAUUCAACACGCUCCAAAUCAGAGGUUUUCAAAGUGUGAGGCACCGGAAGACUUGACGGGAGACACAGCAGCUUUGGAAAAGUAAAGACAAAUAAGUUGACAAACUGCUGCUCGUCACUGGAUGGAUCCAUCCUAAAAUAGUCCCAGUGACCAGAAGCUGCUUUCCAUCAUUG